ensembl:lncRNA
CAGCAAGACGGGGCUCGUGCGAGUGUCAGCGUGUGCGGGGAGUGCGUAUCCGUGGGUGCGCGUCUGCGGGUGGCCAUACGUGUCGGGUGAGGGCGUGGGUGCGCAGGGCACGCGCGUUUCGGGCGGUGCCAGGAGGUGCCUGAUCCCCCCGGGGGGAUACUCCCGCUCCCCACGUCGUGCCUUAGAAGAGGGGUUGAUAAUCCUGCGGGAGGGGAGCGGGGAGAGCUGCCUGCGCGCAGAUGGGAGCGGAACCUCUAAAGUGAUUAGCUCUUCUAGCAUUGCAUUUUUGACGCACAUGGUUAAGAGCGCUUGGCGCCAGCUUGGUGAAGUCCCUGUAGUAACCAGCGUCUAGGAUCGCUUUGCAUUCACCAAAAUAUCUCCCCUUCGGUCGGGGGUGGGGGUGGAAAGGAGAAGGGAGGAGGAGGGAGGAAAGGAAGCGGGAGUAAUGCAUUCAAAGAAGAUGUAGGGAAAAGACAAGGGCGGGGGUGGGGGGAGCGUGAUGUAUUUCAAGGAACCAAGAGCUUAGCUGCCCGCGCAGCGCUCGCCUCGGCUGCGCAGCGAGAUUUCUCGAGAGCUCUGCUCAGGACCGGGGCCUGGGCUCCCUCCCGCCUCCAGCCGCAACGGGAACCUCAGAACCUUCCCCUUACGGAACCCACAACAAACGCCCGAAGUAGUUGUUGUUUGUUGGUGGAACGGCACGCAGAAACUUGGCCGCAAUUUGCCCCAAGCAGGCCGCAGCUGUCUGCCGGGGACCGUGAGGUGCCCGCGGACUCUCGCAGGACAAGCGCAGCCGCUCCCAGAGCCGCCUUGCCCCGCUCCCCGCGCCCGCCCCGCCGGUACGCGCCCUCGGGGCCGCUGUGGAGGACGGAGCCGUUGGUGCCCUCCGCGCCCGCCCCGCACUUUGCGCAGCGCUCGGCACCCACCCGCGCGGCGGCCCGCGGAGGGAAAUGAAGCGUUCGCCGCUUAUGAUUUCCAAUGUCAGCGUCUGGCUGAUGGCGUGCAAACUUCCGCCAGUUCCGAGUGACCUCCCCGACGAAGCCCCCUGGAGACUCGUAUUAUGAAGGGAGGCUGCACUAAUCUAAGAUCAAAAGCGGGAAGGCCGGAGGGAAAGCAGAGCUUCCCUGGUUGCUGAGCGGCUGCGAGAGCUUCGCUCGCUCAGAUUUCGCCCUCCUAAGCAACUUUUUAGCGUCUGCACGAGAGAUCGGGGCGUGCGGCAAGCCUCCCCCGUGGCCCGAAGAGCCAGCUGAAGGGAGAAGGCAGGAGGAAAAGAAUGGCAGCGCGACUGCGGAGCCCACACGUCCUCUCCCAAGCCUGCGGGAGCCGCUCCAAGGCGUGUGUGCGUGCUGCGAGCCCCGUGUGCGUGUGCAGGGGAGGCUGUGUGGGUGUGCGCGCCCCG